UACGUAGGGGGCAAGCGUUGUCCGGAAUCAUUGGGCGUAAAGAGCGUGUAGGCGGCCUGGUAAGUCCGCUGUGAAAGUCCAGGGCUCAACCCUGGAAUGCCGGUGGAAACUGUCAGGCUCGAGUCCGGAAGAGGCGAGUGGAAUUCCUGGUGUAGCGGUGAAAUGCGCAGAUAUCAGGAGGAAUACCGAUGGCGAAGGCAGGUCUCUGGGCGUGAGCACUGACGCUCAUGCACGAAAGCGUGGGGAGCAAACAGG
rnacentral:rRNA from 1 species